CUUGACGACCAUAGAGCGUUGGAACCACCUGAUCCCAUCCCGAACUCAGUAGUGAAACGACGCAUCGCCGAUGGUAGUGUGGAGCUUCUCCAUGUGAGAGUAGGUCAUCGUCAAGCUUCUAUAAGAAACCCCAGA
rnacentral:rRNA from 1 species